UCUGUAUAUUAUUUAUUUGAUUGUUUAUUAGUUUUCUUAUGUGGGAAGAAAUGCUUUCCCCACUCCAGGACUAAGAAGAAGUCUCAGUGGCUCUCAGAGCCUGGAGUGCUUCUCUGGUAUCGUUGCAGGCUGCUCCUUCCCACCAGAGGCUUGUCUAGGCUGGAGGGAGGCAGCUUUGGUAAGGGCAUUGUUGUUUCAGGCACAGGAGCAGCCUUCACACAGGUCCUGGCUGUUGCUGUGUUUCCCAGUUGCAAUUGCUCAGGUAGGCUAAGGCUCCCCAGAAUAUAGACUGGCAUUGCAAAUGAAGAAAAAAGAACAAUAAAAACACAACUUUUAAGAUGAAAAACUCAAGCUGGAAGUCCAAGGAUAGCUCUGGAGACCCUGCUGGGGGAGGAUCUGAGUAGGUAGUAGAGUGGAACAGAGAGAAAAAAGGACAUCUGCAGAGACCCUUGCACAUAAAGACGGGAAGGAUGAAAAACAGUCACUCUCAGGAAUAAGAUCUUGAUAUAUGAUAACAAGUGGUGGGGAAGGCAGGGAUUGUUUAGUACCCACUGCGGGGACAAAUUUGGCAAAUAUUCAGGUUGAUUCUUACAUAAGAUUCAACAUUGAAGAAAAGAAAACCUAUGCCUUCUAGAUAGAGUCAAGACUUAAAAUUGUCAAUAAAAAUAAUCACCAGGACAAAAUAAAAUUGAAUAUGUAUCAAGUUGCUGAAACAGAGAGGACUUUGGGUGGAUAAAAAUCACAAAAGAUUGAUGUAGUCGAUUGUAUUUUUAAAAAUGUUUUCAACUUUAAAAAUGUUAAAAAGGAGGCAAAAUGGGACCCUGCUCUAAGAUGACAAACCAAGACAUGAUAUUUUUUACAUAAAGAGCCUAAAAAAUCAUUACAAAAAUCACUAAGAUCCUGAAAGCUAAAUUAGAUAGGAAAACAAAAAUCACAAGGAGGAAUCAAAAUGGCUUUAAAAACAUAUGGGAACAUGUUCAACCUUACCAGUAAUCAAAGAAAUGCAAAUUAAAAUGGCAAUACUAUUUUCAGCUGGCAAAUGUGUAACAUUUCCAAAAAAUGAGACUACCCAGACUGAUGGGGCUGUGGUAAAAUUGAUAGUGUCAUGCACUCACUGCAGGAGGUAGCAGGAGUCCUUUUGUAAAGCAAUUUGGCAAUGUAUAUCAACAGCCUUAAAAAGAUCCAUGCUUCUUAAUUCAAUAGUUCUACCUCCAAGACAGCGAUCAUCAAUGCAGCCAAAGUGUUUUGUAUUAAGAACUCUGUGUUGGUGUAUUUAUAAUGGUAAAAAGGAGAAUGUAAUUUAAAUGUUUAACAUGAGGAGGAAUGGUUAAGUCAGUGAUACAAUCCACUGGCUGGGUGAUUAUAAGCCAUUAGUAGUGGGUCAGACCAACCUGAGUCUAUUCUCUGCUCUAUCUUCUCUGUGUCUUUGAGGAUACUGCCUACAUUUCUGUAAAAUUGAACGAAUAGGAUCGUGCAGUAUGGAUGUGAGAAUUUGGCUAGGUAUUUGGUACAUUGCUUGGGAGGGGGUUCUUUUCUUGUUUCUCAGUUUUGUUUUGUUUUUUUGUUGUUCAGCACCUGUCACCGUUCUAUUGGAAUAGACAUUUCUGUGACUAAUAGGAUUCUUAUGGCCAAAGGAUUCUUCUAGGAAAGGAUUAGCAGGAGAAAAUGGCUCGAAGGACAUAAGGCCAGGAGAGAUGCAGCUGGAUGCAACUGCUACACAAAUUCACAGGGGGACUUUUAGGACCUCACAUCUCUUACCACCGCAUCCAUCAGCUCCUCUCCUGAAACUCUCAAUUCUACUGGGCUCAAAUCAAUGUUUUUGUAAUAGACAGUGGGGGUGAAAGUGAGAGCAAGGGAGAUGUUUGGGAUGCCAAGACGAAUAAACCAUGCCUUUCAUUGAAUAAAAAAUUACCUCACGCCUGUAAUCCCAGUACUUUGGGAGGCCAAGGAGGGCAGAUCACUGGAGGUCAAGAGUUCAGCACCAACCUGACCAACAUGGUGAAACCCUGUCUCUACUAAAAAUAUACAAACUAGCUGGGUGGGUUGGUGCAUGCCUGAAAUCCCAGCUACUUGGGGGGCUGAGGCAGGAAAAUCACUUGAACCUGGGAGGUGGAGGUUGCAGUGAGCCAAGGUUGUGCCAUUGCACUCCAGCCUGGGUGACAAAAGCAAAAGUACGUGUCAAAAAGAAAAAUUGUUUCUGAGAAAUUGAUGUUGUGCAAGACUUAGCAGCACAUAAUGUUCUCUCUCUAGAGGAGAACGUGAAGGAGCCUCUCUCUGUAGUGUUAAUGGUCUUGUUCCCAUCCUCAGUGUGAACAUAUUUUCCUUUUUUAGUGUAGUGGGCACGAUUUCUUACAAUUUUUCUUGCCUAAUGAGCUAAGAUGUCUUCAUAUUAAUCCUGGGUAUCCUUUCAUUAAAAAAAUUAACAUGCAUCAAGAAUAAAAAGCCAUUCCUGGAGAAAACCACCACUAGCUUUAUGACACACUUAGCAAGUAUUUGCUGAGUACCUAUUAUGGGUCCAGUUGGACACAUGAUACCAUUUAUACCCACUUAUUACCAGUCAUAUGUAUAACUUUAUCAUGUGUGGUGAACAGAUGCAGCAGUUAAUUCAGGGUCUCAGUCCUCAACAAGCAGUGAUCAAAUGGCAGAGACAUCCAGGUAAAAAAAUGGUAAUAGCAAUAACACAGAGUCAAGAGAGCUUGUCUGUGCUACAUAUGAGAUAACAUGCAAAAGACAGAGGGGAGGGUCUGUUCAGGACGAGGGUCAAGGAAGUGUUUCAGGAGGUGGUAAACUUGAUCUGAUCUUUGAGAGAGGAAUAAACUUGUCAACGUUUGAAAGCAAAACAUGCUGGUGCUUUUUCAGCACACAUGCAUCCCUUUAGACUGCAUAGUAUGACUUUGAAGGCAGAAGGUCUGGGAUUAAAUCCCAGUUCAGUCAGUCACCAGCUGUGUACAAUGGAAAUGCAACUCAACCUCUCUGAGCCUUACUUUCUGCAUACGUAAGAUGAGCAAAGCAAUACUUCCCCUAUAGGGGACUAUACAGGAAUAAAUCCUCCUCCCUAUUUCCAGGGGUGCCCAGCCUUCUGGUGAUCACAGACAGAAAACACUUCUACAGUGGGGCUUUCUGUCUUUGUGUUGCCAUCUGUCUUCCCCUCCAUGGUCUCUUAACAGUGAGCCUGGUGAUUCAGUGAUGAGCUUGGGAAAGCCACCUCCCUUCCCUGUACCUCAGUUUUCUCAUCUAUCAAAUAAAACAGGUAAACAAAAAUAGUGCCUUUGAGCUAUAAUGUUCUGAGAGUGUUCUAGGUACAGUAGACAAUAGACGCUAAGGUCCUGUGGUGAUAUAUUAGAGGUGGUAUGGUUGGUUAAAGAGGAAGAAUAAAGGAGGCAGUGGCUACAGUGAGGCUGUAGAGGAAGGUGGGAAUCUGUGACUCAGGGAGGUGAUAUAACUUGCCCAAGGCCAUCUACCUUAUGAAUAGGGGAUCUGGGAUUUGGUCCAAGGUCUAGAGCAAAAUCCAUGCUCUUGCAAUCACCACAGAUUGGGUGAAACUUACCCUCUUGAAAGUCCCCCACUAGCAAGACUGACAUUUGCCAAAAGAGAGCUUUUGUUGAAGGGCGUUAGAAUGAGACCCAGAGAGCCUGACCGAAUUAUCGUCAUUCUACCUGCCACGGAACAUUUAAAACCAGCCACACUGGGAGGAAGUGUUUGCUGGCCUCUGAUAAGGGUUUACAUGGAGCAAUGCCCUGCCUUGCUCACCACACUCCAACAGAAUCCAGCUGUUUAUUUGAUGAAAACUGCAGUUCGUCUUUAUUUACAUUUCCCAUGAUGGUGAGGGUCAGCAUGCUGCAACCUAGCUGAGACGAGUAGGACUUUGAACCAUUGGGCUGAUAUGUUGCUCAAAGCUGUCGAAUUUUACAGACCCAACUAGGGCAAGAGUUGCGGGUGAGGGGCGGUUAAGGACACCAUUGCAACUCUCCAGGGCACCUCCACUGGAAUUUUGGAAGCAGACCUUUUGUGCUAGGCAAAGCAGACUUAGAAACAGAAUGUACCCUCCUAAUGAUUUGCUGUUAGGAGAGUGAGCAAGGAAAAGAGAAAAUGAGGGAGAUAGAAUGAGCUUUGCAAGAAUGUAUUUACAAUUAAAUUGCAUUUUAAAGGCAAUGUGGAAAUCCUUCCUCUGCAGAGAAGUGAAAUGGAGACAAGCCAGCAAAUUGUAGUCGAAAGUGUACCAGCUUUGAAGACAAGAAGACUUCAGUUGAAAUGCUGGAUCUACAAUGACUGGUUGUAUGACCUUGUCCAAUUAACCUAGGUGAAGAGACUUGCUCUGCCACCCAGGCUGGAGUGCAGUGGUGUAAUCUCAGCUCAAUGCAGCCUCCAUCUCCCAGGUUCGAGCCAUUCUUGUGCCUCAGCCUCCCAAGUAGCUGGAAUUACAGAUCCAAAGUAUCCUGGGACAGCAGACAUUGAUAGAUGGGAUAGAAAAGGAAAUGAAGUUAACAUAAGCCCAGACAAACUUCUUGACUUCAUAUGUAAAGCCAUAAAAAUGAUACUUCUUGUGACCUUACACACAGGCUCCCAGUAAAUGAGGUGAAGCCACGGAAAAUGUUUUGUUUUUGUCCUUCUUUCUAAUUCUUAUUUUUUAUUAAGAACUAAGCUGGAUGAAUUAUGGCCACCAUGCAAAUGGAGUCUGAAUAUAUAAUUGUGUAUUUUUGAUAUUUCUUUUUUACUUAUUAGCUCUUUGGAUUCACUCAUUAAACAAACAUUGAUUAAGUAUCCACAACAGACACCAAACACUACUCCUAUCAUUAAGGAACUCCCAACAGAAAAAGGAAAAUAUAAGCACAUCAUUUAUAACACUGUAACUUGGUUCUAAAAUAAGAUUAAUAAUAUGAUCUACAAUAUGACAUAAGAACUCAAUCAAAUGUGGAAGGAAGGGAAGGCAUACAGAUUCAUUCAUUGAGAAGAGUGUGGAUGGAAGAGAUUUGGAAGAAGAUAAUGGGUUCAGUUUUAGACUUCUGAGUGUGAGGCACCAGUGGAACUAUUUCACGGCAGCAAGAUAUGUUCAUAUGUAGCUUAUGUGGGAAUCUGAGCUGAAGCUUAUAUCUGAGUGGCUAAGGUGAUCAUGGUAAUAUUCUCCCAGAGGGAGAACAACUAGGUUGAACAAGUAGAAGAACUAGAAGGAGUUAAUCAGGCAAAGAGCAGUGGCAAGGAAUUUUUAGAUGGAGAGAAUAGAUGUUGAAACAUUCAGAUGCAUCUGUGAGCAUAAUAGGAUUCAAAGAAUGGUAAGUGGACUACAUGGCUAAAAUAAAGAGUGUGAGGGGAAGAGAUCAAGGAAUGUUGCUGGAAGGAAAAGUGGGAGUCAGACCUUGCAGGAUUUUUUAUUUGUGCGGAGUUUUAUGCAAAGGAAUAGCAUCAUCAGGUUUUGGAAAUAGAAUGUAGCCUGGAUUGCAGAAAGCAGAACUGGAAUUGCAGGGACCACCUAGGAGAGUGUUGUAGAAAUUCAGCUGAGCAGUGAUAGUCACUUUCACUAAGAUGUUCUUGGCAAAAAUGAAGAUAAAUGGAGGCCUAGAACUACUUGGUGGGUAUAAUAAAUAGAAGUGUUUUCACCUGAGAGUAAGAGAGCAGUAUGAAUUCUGUUGAAGCCUCUUCACUAAUGGGUAAAUACAAGUCCAUUCACAGAGAAGAGUGUGGAUGGAAGAGGAGCUUUAGGAGACAAUAAUGUGUUCCAUUUUGGACUUCUGAGUGUGAGGCACCAGUGGUACUAUUCUAUGGCAGAAGGAUAUGUUCUUAUGUAACUUAUGGUGGAUUUCUGGGAGCAUUGAGCUUCAGAAUGAAUCUGCAAGCCCCACACUCUCACAUCUUUUUCUUUGCUCACUGUGAGCAACUCUAAAUUUCUUUUCAGACACAUGAUCCCCAAAUUCUCUCUUUUGUCUAAGCUAGUUUGAAUUAUGUUUAUACUUUUUUAUAUUUGGAUAAUCCUGACUAAUACAUCAUUAGUGGGAUGAAAGAAAAAGUGUAGUUGUUUUAGAAAAGAGGUUUGUUGAUUCAUUCAUUCAACAAACAUUAACUGUUCUAUGCCCUGGAGAUUCAGCAUUGAACAUAGGUGGUAUGGUAUGUGCAUAGUUGAAGAUGAAUAAAUCUCUUUGACAAUAAAUUCCAUCCAAAAGAAAAAUUUAUAGCCCAUUUGUAGUAUUACUUAAUCUUUAUUUCUAUGGUAUUGUACACGUAGCAAUAAUACUGAUUUUUUUGUUUAACACUAAGAAAGGGCAAACAUUUUCUUUUAUGGAAGAUAGCCAAAAUAGAACUUCUCCCUUAGGUACUGUGUUGGUUUUGGGAAUGAAGAUGGAAACAGAGUCACACUUUCCUGAACUGGGUCUUCUUGUGAUUUUUUUUCCCCAUGGUGGGCAUUCACCUAUGCUUUUAGCCAAGGUGAGCACAUAUAGAAGAAGAUGGCACACUGUUAAGACCCAGGAGGAUGGAAGCUGAUUUCAAAACAGACCUUCUGCACCAGGGAGCGUGGUAUCUUGUUUUGCUGCCAAUUAAUUAGUGAUGAGUUUGUCAUGUUGCCUGUUAUCCAGGAUGAUUAAUCCGAGCCUGAAUCCAACUAAACCAUUAAGGAAAGUUCACAGCAAGAUAAGCUGUGAGUGACAAUGUUACCCUUUAGAAGAAGGGGAGAUGACAGAAUGAAACACAACCCCCUGCCUCCCCCUCGCUGUCUUCCAGCCUGUCGUGGUAAAAUCCCUGGGCUCCUACUGUGAUAAAGAGCUUGGGAAGGCAUGAGUUAGAGUCACACAAUCAGAGACUCUUAGGACUUAAAGGGGCCUUGGAGCUUUGCUUCUCCAACCUGCUCAUCAUACAGAUGAAGGGAUGAAGGCCCAGAGAGGUCAUUUUACUUACUUAUAAAUACAGAGCAAGUUGUUGACAGGGCUGGGACUAGAGCUCCAUCAUUUAGCACUUAUUGUGGUCUAUUUCCUACUGUAUCACAGAGUUCUGAGCUCACAGCAGCAGUCCUCUUCUGCAGAAGAGAGUUGCAGUGCUGAACCCACUGUUUAAGGACCUGAGAUCCAAUUUCUAGACUAGCUUCUGGCACCAACUUGCUACAUGAACUGCAGCUGACUGGCUGCUCUAUGGGGUGCUUAGCUUAUUUCUCUAUGGCUUUUCAUUCUUCAUUAAGCUGUGUCUAUUUCCUUAUGUGGUGGUCUCAGAGAAGCAUUUCAAGAGAGUGAAGGCCUAUACCACAAGACCCUUUGAAAUUUAGACUCCAAAACUUACAUAAUAUCACUUUGACCUUUUUCUAGUGGUCAAAGCAAGUUACUGAGCCAACCCAAACCCCAGGCAUUGGGAAACAAACCCAAGCUCUUGGUAAGACAAGUGACAAAGUUACAUUGCUUAGGGUCCUAUGAGGUAUAACUUAUUUUUGCAGUAAUCUUUGCAAACCACAACUUCCAUAUUUGGCAGUCUUGAAAUGUGCCCAAUCCCCACAGUAACAGCAAAAUAACCUACUAACUCCAUUACCCACACACUUUAUGUAUUGCCUCUUUUUCAUGUUUCUCAUGAUGUGCUCUCAGUUUUGUUUUUGUGUAAGGGGGAGUCUUAUGAGAGAAAUGAACAUGUAUAUGUGGAUCAUGUAAUCCAACAUAUGCAUGUAUGUGUGUUCUAAUUCAUGUUUUAAUUUGAUAUUUGAAUGACUUAUUUCCCAGAAAAGAUGUCUCAUGACACCAGAGAAUAUGUAACACUAAAGGAAAAAGCCCAAAUUCAAAAUAGAUGCAAAGCUAAUUUAAAAAUAGAAGAGUAGAGCAAUAAGAUGGAGCCAGAAAUAAGGCUUAAAAAUGCAUACUCUUGUAUCAUUAACACUUGUGAUAGGCAAACUGCAACCUUGACUCUGAACUGCGUAGGAGAGGUUAUGAAGAUCACAACACAUAACUACGGCUAAGAGAUAGGGAGAAAGCAGUGGCUUUUAAUCUCUUGGUCACAGAGCCUCCUGUCAAGAUUGCAUUCCUUUUCUUUGGAUCUCAUAACCUACUUAUAUCUGAGCCUAUAUAUUUUUCCUCUUUUUUUGUACUGUGAGUAGGAUUCCUCAUGAUCAAUGUCUUCUGCUUUAAGACGUAAUCUUAAGGAAAAGCAGAGACCAAAUGUGGAGCCAUAAUGGCCUCUUGGGUCUGUCCAUGGUGCUGAGCUAGGAAAAGCCAAAGAUGGACCAAGACCCUUGUUUCUAAGAGCGUCUUAUGCUGUGACUGACAAGAGUCGAUUACAAUUCAAACUAUGUGUGUGCUUGUCUGGACUGCUUCUCUUAAACUAGGCCACUCCUAACAUAGUCUUUAUAAAAUUAUGCAGCCGGUAUCCUGUAACAGAGGAGUUGGAUAUUCCUGACCAGAUUAUAGAAAGGCUUGGGUUUCCCUCUGUGUUCCCACCUCACCUCUUGAAAUAACAUCAUUGACUUUGUGCUUUUCUGAUCCUUUUACUUAGACAAUGGACCUAGCUGUGUGCUCAUUCCAUAUCUAGGGGGCAAACUUUCUAAGUGUUUAUGUUUUUCAUCUUUUCAGUUAUUUCUCAAAUAUCCUGUGUGUACUGUUUUCUCUCUCUCUUCUUGGUAGCCUCCAUCAUGUAAUCAAGCCCAAGUCCCCAAGAUCCAGUCCUUGUCCCACAGCUGGUUGUCUUCUUCCUAUUAAAUAGAAUCAGCCUCUCAGAUGAGAGGAAAUAAUACAAAAAAAAAAGAAAAAGAAUUCUUAUCUUCAAAACAAGAGCGGAGAAUGGAUAAAGGACUCUGAGGCUGUCUUGUAUACUGUACCCUGAGGGGUUGUCUAGAAAGUGAUAUUUCAAAACACUUUCCGGAAAAUAAAAUUGCCAACAGUUCUAAGGAAUCCAGUUGAAUGAGGACACUGCUUUCCUGAUCCCAGCCGUCAUCUUUUGUACAUAAAGUAAAUAUAUUUGCUUGCUUUUGCAGAAAAACCAGUAUUAAUCUCUAUUCCAAAGAGAAGAAGUGCUGCUCUCAUCAAAUGAGAAUCUUUUUUCAAGAAUAAGAUGAAGCCAACAAUACCCAGGGUUUCCCCUUGCAAACUGCUGUUUCUCUUGGCUACUGUAUUUACUGGAACAAUCAAAGAGACAAACAGAUUCCAAAUAGCCUUCACGUAUUACCCAGGAUUAAAAUGAGUACCCAGCUGUGGUAGACAACUUCAGAACAACUUAUUUCAGA